rnacentral:lncRNA from 1 species
AGGUAUUGAAAUCCUUAUUAUGUAUAUCAUUUCACACUUGUUGAUUGCUUUAAAUUGGAAAAUACUUUUAACCAAAGAGAAUGGAACAAAAUUUUUAUCAUAUUGUUUGUGCUAUUGAGAAGUAAUAUUUUUAUCUGAAUUUGCCGCAGUUUCUUUAUUCCCAUUAUUGUGCAGUUGAGUUUCUAUUGUGUAUAUAAUACUAUGUUUAUAACAUGGAUUUCUAAUUUUCCACAGAGAUUCACAAGCAUUAGAACCACAUCUUUGUGUAAACUGUUGGUUACUUUGCUUUGGGUCACCUUCUUACAAUUUUCUUUUCAAUAUUGAAAAGGGGAAUUGUUGUUUUUUCACGAUAUCCUCAACUGUUAUUUUGUCUAUGUCUGCUUGCUAGUUCUUGUUCUCCAUAUUUGUGUUGGGUGAUACUCUGACACGAGGGCUAGGUAUUAGAUACCGGAAUCAGUAGAUCUCCAUGAAUCACGCAAACCACUUUUCGAAUGACAUUUUGACAAAAUUGUGAGGGAGAAAGACGGUGUUUUAAUUGCUUUCUGAUUUUCUUUUCCAUGCAUUUAUUUAUUCCUAGAAUAUGAAGUUUAUAUUAAAACAACUUUUUUGGCAUAAACAAUAAACAUUGAGAAACAUUUUAGCAUGUUAUAUGUGGUCCUUCUGUCAGCCUGCCAUAGCUGUCACAUGGGGAUAAUGAGCAAGGUAGGUACUCUGAAUUGAAUGUCUUCUAAUUUUACUUUCGGUACAUGAUGCAUUUCCUUCAUUAAUUUCCGACAAAAGGGUGUUUGACGCUUUCUCUUCACACACCUUCAAAUCUAGCUGCAAAUUUUAUUCUUUUCGUGGUAGCCAUAUCAUGUUGCUCUCUUUGAAAUUGUAAGUUGCAGACUAUAAGACAAAAAAAUUUGUUGUUUUUGUGAUCUUAUUUAUACGACAUUACAGUUAAAUAUCAAAUUGUUCAUAGAUAUUUAGUUUUGAUAUUUAAUUUUGACGUCAGACAAAUUUAUUUGGGAGACUGCUGUCACUGACACUGAUUGUAUUCAAAGAUAUGAUUGCACUCUUAAAAGCUUGAACUUCUGAUGGUUUUCAGCACCUUUGCUUUUUCAUUAGUUUCCUUUCAAUCAAUUUAAUGGGACCUUGAUUGGGUAAGUUCGUCAUAUGGUGACAUUUCAUUAAGUUUUGUUUCAAUCAUCUUCAGGAUUUUCCGUUUGUAUUGUAGUAUUGAACAUGGCUAAUAAUGUAUAAUGUUCUAUGAUUGUUUCUUGUAUGAUUAAAUAUGACUGGAAGUAACAAAUUAUUAGCGAAAAGGUGCCUUUUUUAUAGGCUUAAUUGCACUUUUGGACCCCUAUCUUUCCAAAAGUUGCGGUUAUGGAACACUAACUAAUUUAAAUACAAAACAGCCCCCUAUGUUUUGAUUCUUUGGCAGUUUUGGACCCCCCAGUCCAUUGUUGACUCGGUCAACGCUGACGUGGCACCCUAAGUGAGGUGCCACGUGUCAAUUUUUAUUUUAUUUUUUUGCCUUGGGGGUCCAAAACUGCCAAAGAAUCAAAACAUAGGGGGCUGUUUUGUAUUUAAAUUAGUUAGGGGUCCAUAACCGCAACUUUUGGAAAGAUAGGGGUCCAAAAGUGCAAUUAAGCCUUUUUUAUACUACAUGACGUGGCCAACAUUGUUAUUCGUCGCCCCUUUAAUUGAACAGGUAUCUUCAAGGUCUUAAAUCUGAGGGUGGAGAACAUAGCUUCUUUGCAGAAGCUUCAAGAGGAGACAACAAGGGUCUCCAAAUGGAG